rnacentral:tRNA from 1 species
GCCGGGGUAGCCAAGUCAGGCCAAUCUCUGUAAACUAGUGUUUAGUUCAGAGGGUCAUAGGCGAUGGACUCAAGAUCCAUUCCCGCAGGGGUUCGAGAGUUCAAAUCUCUCCCCCGGCA